rnacentral:rRNA from 1 species
CCUACGGGUGGCAGCAGUCGAGAAUCAUUCACAAUGGGGGAAACCCUGAUGGUGCGACGCCGCGUGGGGGAAUGAAGGUCUUCGGAUUGUAAACCCCUGUCAUGUGGGAGCAAAUUAAAAAGAUAGUACCACAAGAGGAAGAGACGGCUAACUCUGUGCCAGCAGCCGCGGUAAUACAGAGGUCUCAAGCGUUGUUCGGAAUCACUGGGCGUAAAGUGUGCGUAGGCUGUUUCGUAAGUCGUGUGUGAAAGGCGCGGGCUCAACCCGCGGACGGCACAUGAUACUGCGAGACUAGAGUAAUGGAGGGGGAACCGGAAUUCUCGGUGUAGCAGUGAAAUGCGUAGAUAUCGGGAGGAACACUCGUGGCGAAGGCGGGUUCCUGGACAUUAACUGACGCUGAGGCACGAAGGCCAGGGGAGCGAAAGGGAUUAGAUACCCUAGUAGUC